ensembl:lncRNA
CUCCUGAGAGAGGAGGCUGGGAACACAGGGCCUGGGCUCACCCACUGGCUGCUCCCUGCAGGAUGUCGGCUUGGCCAACCUACAGGAACCCAUCAUGGGAAUCUUCCAGCUCAGAGGGAACAAGGGCAGGGAGACUGUGGAUGACUGGCUGGCGUCCUUCAGGGACAGAUUCCCAAAUUAUUUAAGUGCCCAGGCCCAGCCAUGCUGCUCUGUGCUCUUGGAGGAGACCGAGGACAAGGGAAGCUGCUGCUCAUGCUGUUGACCCCAGCUCUGGUAAAGGAUCUGGCGGCAGCUCCCUGACUUCCCUUAAUGGAGGUGGAGGUGAGCUCGAGCUUCAGGGAGCCUUGGGCUGUGGAAGUUGUGUGGCUCCGACACCCACCUAUGGAGAAGGAUCUGGGUGCCCCUGGUCACCAGGUGGCCACUUCAUAAAUGGCGGCCUGACAUCCAGGAGGAAGCCAAUCCUUCUCAGGUCUGGACUUGUCAGUCAGAAGGAAUACCCUGACCCCAGCCACCAAGCAAUAAAGCAGGCCAGGCCUUGUGGGAGGUCACAUGCUUAUGUUCUAGCCAGAAACCCUACUGAGGACCCAGCCAACAACUGGCAUGAACCCCAGAAGAACCUCAAGAUUCCUGCAGCCCCAACCACUGUCUGAUGUAGCAUUAGAAUUAAAGGCGAACAUAGCCUAUUGGUGACUGAACAGUUGGACCCUUGCCUGGUGUGGAAGUUCCCACAGUUGGUAUCAAAAGAGCUGUGAGCAGAGGGACAGUUUUGCUGGAGUCACCUUGGUCACCCACGCCUCCCCAUGGAGGUGGGGGGGACACUUGCUUGCUGCCACCCCAAGCUGCAUGAAAAUGCUUCAAUGAACAGGCCUCUGCCUAAUGUGAGUCAGAAGCUGUCAAGUCGUUUCUCCUUUUUCUUCCCUUUGUCCUCCUUCACGUUAUUCUCUUUUCUGGAAAAUGAAAGAGUAGUUCCUGUACAUCAGUAUUUAAGAGAGGCUGCGACCCAGACCUUGCUUCAACGCUGUUUUAGCGGAUUCCCUAGGCUCAGACUGUCCUGGACUGAGGCUGGGCAGCAGCAAACACUGAUCGUCUCCCGAGGAAAGUGCCUUCAUUCUGGGUGUCGAAUCAUUCCUACAAGUAGUUUCUGAAGGACAGAACAAUGAGCUCUGUAUAAAAAUAAGCAAGCACACAAGGGCAGAGGAGCCAUGAGUGAGACCCAGUAGGACCUGCAGACAGCAGACAGGCCUGCAAAGACUGGCUCUCGUCACACGGUGUAGCAGACACAUGGCAUAUCAGACACUGACUGUACCAGACACCGACUGUAUCAGGCACACGGUGUAUCAGACACUGUGUUAGACACUGACUGUAACAGAUGCACAAGGUAUCAGACAGCGACUGUACCAGACACUGACUGUACCAGACACCGACUGUAUCAGGCACACGGUGUAUCAGACACUGUAUCAGACACUGUGUUAGACACUGACUGUAACAGAUGCACAAGGUAUCAGACAGCGACUGUACCAGACACUGACUGUACCAGACACCGACUGUAUCAGGCACAUGGUGUAGCAGACACAUGGCAACUGUACCAGAUGCUGACUGUAUCAAACACAGACUGUACCAGACGCUGGCUGUAUUAGACACUGACUGUAUCAGACAGUGACUGUAUUAGACACUAUAUCAGACACUGACUGUAUCAGACAACAACUGUAUUAGAUGCUGACUGUAUCAGAUAAACAGGGUAUCAGACGACUGUAUCAGUGACUGUACCAGACACUGUACCAGGCACCGACUGUAUCAGACACUGUAUCAGACAUAGACUGUACUAGACACUGACUGUAUCAGACACACAGGGUAUCAGACACUGACUGUACCAGACACCAACUGUAUCAGGCACACGGUGUAUCAGACACAUGGCAUAUCAGACACCAACUGUACCAGACACCGACUGUAUCAAACACUGACUGUAUCAGACAUGGAUUGUACCAGACACUGGCUGUAUUAGACACUGACUGUAUCAGACACAGAGUAUCAGACACUGUAUCAGACAGUGACUGUCUCACUGACUGUAUCAGACAACAACUGCAUUAGAUGGUGACUGUAUCAGACACUCAGGGUAUCAGACAGCAACUAUAUCAGACAGUGACUAUAUCAGAUACCGACUGUAUCAGGCACACGGUGUGUCAGGAACAUAGCAUAUCAGACACCAACUGUACCAAACAUAUGGUAUAUCAGACGUUGACUGUAUUAGACACUGACUGUAUCAGAUAUUGACUGUAUCAGACACCAACUGUAGCAGACAGUGACUGUACCCGACACCGACUGUAUCAGACAGCGACAAUAUCUGCCACAGACACUGACUGUACCAGACACAUAGUGUAUCAGACAGCAACUGUGGAGUGUGGACAGAUUGUGUCCAAAGAAAUAAAACACAAACUUGAAAAUAUCUAUAGGGGCA